rnacentral:lncRNA from 1 species
CUGAUGCAUUACAGUUAUUCAGCCAACUGAGAGCAGUGUGAUAGAGGUGAUGGCAUCACACAUGCAUGUGUGGACAGAAUUCAGUCCAGCUGAGGGAGUAAUACAGAUAAAAUACACGAGUUGCAAUUAAUUCCAAGUACAGCAACACUGCUGGAAGAAGUAAUCAUAAACCAGACCUAAGAUGAAUGACUUGGAUAGUAAUAUUUUGAAGCUGAGAUCCUUUUUUUUUGGACUUGUCAUCUUUGGAUGAAGUUCUGAGCCACUCCUAUUUCUUGCAUUAAUUACGUUAUAUGUCCUGAAACAAGACUGAAAGUAACCCUUGACUCAGCAGCAAGAGAAGACAGUGGACUAUAGAUUGAAAAGAUAACUGCUGCUGGAGGUGCA